AGAGUUUGAUCCUGGCUCAGAUUGAACGCUGGCGGUAUGCUUAACACANGCAAGUCGAACGGAAACGAUACUAGCUUGCUAGUAGGCGUCGAGUGGCGGACGGGUGAGUAACGCGUAGGAAUCUACCAGAUAGUGGGGGAUAGCCCGGAGAAAUUCGGAUUAAUACCGCAUAAUCUCUACGGAGUAAAGGAGGCCUCUAUUUAUAUGCUUUCGAUAUCUGAUGAGCCUGCGUAAGAUUAGCUAGUUGGUGAGGUAAAAGCUCACCAAGGCGACGAUCUUUAGCUGGUCUGAGAGGAUGAUCAGCCACACUGGGACUGAGACACGGCCCAGACUCCUACCGGGAGGCAGCAGUGGGGAAUAUUGGACAAUGGGGGCAACCCUGAUCCAGCAAUACCGCGCGUGCCCAAGAAGGCCUGAGGGUUGUAAAGCACUUUCAAUUGUG
rnacentral:rRNA from 1 species